CCUACGGGAGACAGCAGUGAGGAAUAUUGGUCAAUGGACGCAAGUCUGAACCAGCCAUGCCGCGUGCAGGAAGACUGCUCUACGGGUUGUAAACUGCUUUUGUAAGAGGAUAAAGUCAGAUACGCGUGCCUUUCUGAAAGUAUCUUAUGAAUAAGGAUCGGCUAACUCCGUGCCAGCAGCCGCGGUAAUACGGAGGAUUCAAGCGUUAUCCGGAUUUAUUGGGUUUAAAGGGUGCGUAGGUGGUCGGAUAAGUUAGUGGUGAAAGUCCGAGGCUCAACUUCGAAAUUGCAUCUGAUACUGGUCGGCUAGAGAGCAGUUGCGGUAGGCGGAAUGUGUGGUGUAGCGGUGAAAUGCUUAGAGAUCAUAAAGAACACCGAUUGCGAAGGCAGCUUACCAAGCUACUUCUGACGUUGAGGCACGAAAGCGUGGGGAGCAAACAGGAUUAGAUACCCUAGUAGUC
rnacentral:rRNA from 1 species